ensembl:ncRNA F44A2.13 ncRNA
ACCGGGCGUCGUGGCGGGCGUCUGUAAGCCAGCUUCUUGGCGGUAGAUAAGUGUGGAUGGAGUGAAGGGAGGAGCCCUUUGGGUGUUGCUGGCAACGGCGACCGAGCGUCCGUGCCAAGCGCUGCGUCGCUAGGGGUCAUCUGGCGGAAGGCGGGCGGUCCCGGGCGCAUAAGGAGCGGUAUACGGCUCAGGGCCGAAAGGCAGCAGGCAAAAGCCUCCGCGCGGUGCAGUGGCCGGAUAGCGCUUGCGAGUUGUCGCUCACCCACUGCCUCUCUGAUACCUUUAGACCACUUAUCAAUU